GGCAGUUUUCAAGAUGUGGUCCCAAGAGCAGCUGCAACAAUAUUGUCUGGGACCUUGUUGGAAAUGCAGAUUCUUGGACCAUAUCCAGACCUACGGAAUCAGGAACGUUGAGCUAGAGCCCAAGCGGGUACUUCUAGAAGACGAGUACUGAUAGGACAGAGGAAGGAGCUAAACAAAGAGGUGGUCUCAGCAAGAGUCCAGCCUCAGGCUAAUCCCAUGGGGAGCUCUGGACUAUGCACCCUGGAGUUGAUCCACCUUGAGGCAGGGCCCUUAUGCAAGGUCCCUGUGUCAAUCAAUCAUUGGCUGUGGCUGCCCCAGGGGUGGGUGCAAGCCAAACCUUACAGGGACUCAUCCCCCAGCUGUUGUGAAUUAGUUGCUAUCACUGUGUCACAGCUGUUUGAUAUGUCAACCUGAAAUCAUCAAAAGCAUAAGAUUCCAGUUUUAAAGAGCUUAUUCAAGAGAAAAGCCAGGAAUAACCAUUCUGGGAUGCACAGACUCUAGAGAAACGGAGUCAAGUUCUGAAGUUAAAAGCUAAGUUCUUGCUUAUAUAUAGGAAGACAGAGUGAUCCUCCCGCCUUCACCUCCCAAGGUACUGGGAUUAUCACAAGAUGGCACUAUAAAAUACAGUUCCUUAAUCUCACCACAAGAUGGCACUAUAAGAUAAAGAUUAAACCCUCUGAGCUAGGCCUGUGAGUAAUCUAAUCACUUUGUAGAUUAAAGAACAAGAAAUCAGAGGUAGCUUCAAAUGCUGGGCUUCACCUGAGGGUGAAGGGUGGGAGGAGGGAGAGGAUCAGGAAGAAUAACUAACGAGCACUAGGCUUAAUAUCUGGGUGAUGAAGUACUCUGUACAACAAACCCCUGUGACAUGAGGGGGGUGUUUUAAGUUCAGAGGUACACAUGCAGGUUUGUUAAAAAUAGGUAAAAAACCUAUAAAUCCUUUUUUAACCAUAUAUAACAAACCUGUAUGUGUACCCCUUGACUUAAAAUACAAGUUAAAAAAGAAAGAAAAC
rnacentral:lncRNA from 13 species